rnacentral:rRNA from 1 species
UACGUAGGGGGCAAGCGUUGUCCGGAUUUAUUGGGCGUAAAGAGCGUGUAGGCGGCUAGGUAGGUCCGUUGUGAAAACUCGAGGCUUAACCUCGAGACGUCGAUGGAAACCAUCUAGCUAGAGUCCGGAAGAGGAGAGUGGAAUUCCUGGUGUAGCGGUGAAAUGCGCAGAUAUCAGGAAGAACACCCGUGGCGAAGGCGGCUCUCUGGGACGUGACUGACGCUGAGGCGCGAAAGCGUGGGGAGCGAACAGG